AUAAACCGUCCCAGUGCAUCUUUCUUUUGCUGACACUGCUAAAAUUCAGCAAAUGGCUGUUUAUAAAGUUCCCCAGAGGACUUCAGUGGAAUACAUUGGCUUUCAGAACAAAUAUGAGGGACCUUCUGAUUAAAACAGCCCUUCCCCCAACUGCCAGUCAAUCUUAUUGAGCCCCAACAAAUCCCUUUCUUUUGUUUUGAUUGUCUGAGCCUGAGCCUGCUGGUGAGCUCUAUUCUAAAGACUCUGAAACUGAUCAGCGAUAAAAACUACUUUUCAAAAAAGAGAGAAGUAGGGGUCAAGUGUCCCCGCUGAGACACAAAUGAAGGCUGUUGCUCAAACCCAGACCAUCACCACGGAAACUACAUCUCAGCUCGAAAGACAUGCACCGAUUGGCUGAUAGUCAGCACCUGUCUACUGGCCAAUGGGGGAGUAGAACAACGUGUUUGCUAGGAAGAACUGAUGACAAUUCACCGCUCAUUUUCUUUCAGCACAUCUUUUGUGCGAUAAAUGAAAUCAAUUCUGCAGAUUAGAUUAAAUGAUGUAAUAUAUAACAAUGAACAUUGACUAAAUAAAUAACUCUGAGGGGUUAAUAAAUCUGACUUCAACUGUAUAUAUUAAUAGACAGACAUUUCCAAUCUUGCAUAGACUUUUUAGGUGUACUGUACAUUUAUAGACUUUUAUCCAUGUUUUGCAUUCUGAUUACUUUCUAUUGUAAAGACAAACAAAAGCUGAAUAUAAAAGCAGUACACAUUUCUUUAAGUCAAUAAUUUAUGCUAUUAUCUGGGGACCAGCAAGGCUUUUCCAAGUGCUCAGUAAUUUUCCACCUUCAAUCAAAAAUCUAUAGCGCCUACUUACUCAACAAAUACUGCAAUGAAUAAUGGAUUUUUUCCUUUUUAUCUCACAUGGUUUGCAGAGCAAAAAUAGCAGACUUCUAGUUAAUAGAAAUAAUUUUAAAAAAAGUGUCAUCUAUAAUUAUUGGCUUCCUUGAGAAAA